rnacentral:rRNA from 1 species
GACGUAGGGGGCGAGCGUUGUCCGGAUAUACUGGGCGUAAAGCGCACGUAGGCGGCGCCGUAAGUCAGGGGUGAAAUCCCGGAGCUCAACUCCGGAACUGCCCUUGAAACUGCAGUGCUAGAAUCUUGGAGAGGCGAGUGGAAUUCCGAGUGUAGAGGUGAAAUUCGUAGAUAUUCGGAAGAACACCAGUGGCGAAGGCGACUCGCUGGACAAGUAUUGACGCUGAGGUGCGAAAGCGUGGGGAGCAGACAGG